rnacentral:rRNA from 1 species
CCUACGGGUGGCAGCAGUGAGGAAUAUUGGUCAAUGGGCGAGAGUCUGAACCAGCCAAGUAGCGUGAAGGAUGACUGAUCUAUGGGUUGUAAACUUCUUUUAUAUGGGAAUAAAACGGGGUAUGCAUACCCUCUUGUAUGUACCAUAUGAAUAAGCAUCGGCUAACUCCGUGCCAGCAGCCGCGGUAAUACGGAGGAUCCGAGCGUUAUCCGGCUUUAUUGGGUUUAAAGGGAGCGUAGGUGGAUUGUUAAGUCAGUUGUGAAAGUUUGCGGCUCAACCGUAAAAUUGCAGUUGAAACUGGUAGUCUUGAGUAUAUUAGAGGUGGGCGGAAGUCGUGGUGUAGCGGUGAAAUGCUUAGAUAUCACGAAGAACUCCGAUUGCGAAGGCAGCUCACUGGACUGUAACUGACACUGAUGCUCGAAAGUGUGGGUAUCAAACAGGAUUAGAUACCCUUGUAGUC